rnacentral:miRNA from 1 species
CAUCAAUGAAAGGUAUGAUUCC